rnacentral:misc_RNA from 1 species
AUAGGAUUGCUUAUCAGUUUGUGAAAUUGUUUGGUAGUUCUUCAUUGGGGUUGGGUUAUAGUUUGGUUUUCAGUGAAGCUCUUUUGGCUCCUGCUAUUCCUUCUGUGUCUGCAAGGGCUGGUGGGAUCUUUCUGCCAUUAGUUAAGUCACUUUGUGUGGCUUGUGGAAGUAAUGCAGGUGAUGGAACUGAACAUAAGUUGGGAUCUUGGUUGAUGCUUACUUGUUUUCAGACAUCUGUUAUUUCAUCCUCUAUGUUCUUGACAGCUAUGGCUGCUAAUCCUUUGAGUGCAAAUUUGACUCUAAGUACUAUUAAUCAGACAAUUGGGUGGAUGGAUUGGGCUAAGGCAGCUAUAGUUCCUGGUUUGGUGUCUUUGAUUGUGGUUCCAUUGUUGUUGUACAUCAUUUAUCCACCUACAGUGAAGAGUAGUCCUGAUGCUCCUAGGUUGGCCAAGGAGAGGUUGGAAAAGAUGGGGCCAAUGUCUAAGAAUGAGAUUAUUAUGGCUGUAACUCUGCUUCUUACGGUUGGACUUUGGGUUUUUGGCGGUGCAUUAAAGGUUGAUGCUGUUACUGCAGCGAUUCUUGGACUAUCUGUACUCCUUGUGACUGGGGUAGUCACAUGGAAGGAAUGCUUGGGUGAGGCUGUUGCUUGGGACACCCUUACUUGGUUUGCUGCACUGAUUGCAAUGGCUGGUUAUCUGAACAAAUAUGGUCUCAUCUCUUGGUUUAGUGAGACCGUUGUCAAGGUUGUUGGUGGAUUAGGUCUUUCAUGGCAAUUAUCUUUCGGAAUUCUUGUACUUCUAUACUUCUACUCCCACUAUUUCUUUGCAAGUGGAGCUGCUCAUAUCGGAGCCAUGUUCACAGCAUUCUUAUCCGUUGCUAGUGCACUAGGUACUCCACCAUACUUGGGAGCGUUGGUGCUCUCAUUCCUCUCGAACCUUAUGGGUGGCAUUACACACUACGGAAUUGGAUCAGCCCCUGUAUUCUACGGAGCAAACUAUGUCCCCCUCGCGAAAUGGUGGGGAUAUGGGUUUGUAUGUUCUGUCGUCAACCUUCUUAUCUGGCUUGGCGUUGGAGGGAUCUGGUG